rnacentral:rRNA from 1 species
CCUACGGGUGGCAGCAGUAGGGAAUUUUGCGCAAUGGGGGAAACCCUGACGCAGCAACGCCGCGUGAUCGAUGAAGCCCUUCGGGGUGUAAAGAUCUGUCAGUGGGGACGAAACCUGACGGUACCCACAGAGGAAGCACCGGCUAACUCCGUGCCAGCAGCCGCGGUAAUACGGGGGGUGCAAGCGUUGUCCGGAAUCAUUGGGCGUAAAGAGUUCGUAGGUGGCACGUUAAGUCUGGUGUUAGGCGGAAGCUCAACUUCCGUAGGGCACUGGAUACUGGCGAGCUUGAAUGCGGUAGAGGUAAAGGGAAUUCCUGGUGUAGCGGUGAAAUGCGUAGAUAUCACACAGAACACCGAUUGCGAAGGCAUCUCACGAAUCCGCGAUUGACGCUGAUGCACGAAAGCGUGGGUAUCAAACAGGAUUAGAUACCCCAGUAGUC